rnacentral:rRNA from 1 species
GAUGAACGCUGGCGGCGUGCCUAAUACAUGCAAGUCGAGCGAACGGACGAGAAGCUUGCUUCUCUGAUGUUAGCGGCGGACGGGUGAGUAACACGUGGAUAACCUACCUAUAAGACUGGGAUAACUUCGGGAAACCGGAGCUAAUACCGGAUAAUAUUUUGAACCGCAUGGUUCAAAAGUGAAAGACGGUCUUGCUGUCACUUAUAGAUGGAUCCGCGCUGCAUUAGCUAGUUGGUAAGGUAACGGCUUACCAAGGCAACGAUGCAUAGCCGACCUGAGAGGGUGAUCGGCCACACUGGAACUGAGACACGGUCCAGACUCCUACGGGAGGCAGCAGUAGGGAAUCUUCCGCAAUGGGCGAAAGCCUGACGGGGCAACGCCGCGUGAGUGGUGAAGGUCUUCGGAUCGUAAAACUCUGUUAUUAGGGAAGAACAUAUGUGUAAGUAACUGUGCACAUCUUGACGGUACCUAAUCAGAAAGCCACGGCUAACUACGUG